AGUAUAUAUUUCCGGUCAAGAAACUAAGGGCGCAAGGCGGAUGCCUUGGCACCAGGAGGCGACGAAGGACGUGACAAGCAACGAAAACCUCGAGUAGGAGCAAAUAUCCAGUGACUCGGGGGAAUCCGAAUGGGGAAACCUACUAGACACACUCUAGUAUCCAUACGUAAAUACAUAGCGUAUGGAAGCGAAUGUUCUGAACUGAAACAUCUAAGUAGGAACAAGAAAAGAAAGAAAACUCGAUUCUCCAAGUAGCGGCGAGCGAACAGAGACAAGCCCAUUAAAGUAAGACUAAACUGAUAGACAAAUCUUAUGGAAAGAAGAACCAAAGAAAGUAACAGUCUUGUAGUCGAAAUCAGAAUAGAGACACUUUAAGAAGAGUACCACGGAGCACGUGAAAUUCUGUGGGAAGAUAGGGGGACCACCCCCUAAGGCUAAAUACUACCUGGUGACCGAUAGCGAAUAGUACCGUGAGGGAAAGGUGAAAAGAACCCCGGGAGGGGAGUGAAACAGAACCUGAAACCUUGCGCCUACAAGCAGACAGAGGAAGAAGACUUCUAAUGUCGUACUUUUUGUAGAACGGGCCAGCGAGUUACGAUACGUAGCAAGAUUAAACAUUUAAGAUGUGAAGUCGUAGGGAAACCGAGUCUUAAUAGGGCAAAAGUUGCGUGUUGUAGACCCGAAACCGGGUGAUCUAUCCAUGGGCAGAGUGAAGGUAAAGUAAAAUUUACUGGAGGCUCGAACCGGGUAGCGUUUAAAAGCUAUCGGAUGACCUGUGGAUAGGGGUGAAAAGCCAAUCGAACUCGGAUAUAGCUGGUUCUCCUCGAAAUAGCUUUAGGGCUAGCCUUGUUUUAGAUUACAGGAGGUAGAGCACUGAAUAGUCUAGGGGAAGUAAUUCUACCGAAACUUAUCAAACUCCGAAUGCCUGAAAAUCGAUGAACAGGAGUCAGACCAUGAGGGAUAAGCUUCAUAGUCAAAAGGGAAACAGCCCAGACCACCAGUUAAGGUCCCAAAAUACAGAUUAAGUGGGAAAGGAUGUAAUACUACUCAGACAACCAGGAUGUUGGCUCAGAAGCAGCCAUACAUUUAAAGAGUGCGUAAUAGCUCACUGGUCAAGUGGUAAUGCGCCGAAGAUGAACGGGGCUAAAUCUGAUACCGAAACUGUGGGAUAGAAAAGCAAUUAUGCGAGAAGUAUGAAGUAAAAGUGAUUAGGAAAUAUAUCAACUAGUAAAGUAAGAGAGAAAGACAUAAAACAAAAUUUGUGAAAACACAAAGCGUAAAACUAUUAAACGAUACAAUUUCUAAAACUUAACAACAUACAACUGGCAUAAUAGCUUUUCUAUCGGUAGAGGAGCGUUGUAUAUGAGAAGAAGCAAAAAGCGUAAGCAAUUGUGGAUUAUAUACAAGUGAGAAUGCUGGCAUGAGUAGCGAGAAGGGAUGUGAGAAUCAUCCCCGUCGAAAGCCCAAGGAUUCCUGAGCAAGGCUCGUCCUCUCAGGGUAAGUCGGGACCUAAGGCGAGGCCGAAAGGCGUAGUCGAUGGACAACAGGUAGAAAUUCCUGUACUACAAGAUUGUGAUUGAGAGAAGUACUGACGCAGAAGGAAAAGUCGAGCGUGCUGAUGGUCAUGCACGUCCAAAUAACAAGCCAGAAUAUACAGGCAAAUCCGUAUAUUCGUCAACGUAAGUUAUGAUGGGGAGCAGAAAGAUGCGAAGCGACAGAUUCAAACUGCCAAGAAAAGGUGCUAUCGAAUAAUCUUGUACCCGUACCGCAAACCGACACAGGUAGGCAAGAAGAGAAUUCUAAGACGCGCGGAAGAACCUUUGUUAAGGAACUCGGCAAAAUAAUCCCGUAAGUUAGCGAGAAGGGAUGCCUAAGAAAUUAGGUCGCAGAGAAUAGGCCCAAGCGACUGUUUACCAAAAACACAAGUAUCUGCUAAAUCGAAAGAUGAAGUAUAGGUGCUGACACCUGCCCGGUGCUGGAAGGUCAAGGGGACUUGUUAGAGCAAUCGAAGCAACGAACUUAAGCCCCAGUAAACGGCGGCCGUAACUAUAACGGUCCUAAGGUAGCGAAAUUCCUUGUCGGGUAAGUUCCGACCCGCACGAAAGGUGUAACGAUUUGGGCGCUGUCUCAACAAAGGAUCCGGUGAAAUUGUAGUAGUCGUGAAGAUGCGACUUACCCACGGUAGGACGGAAAGACCCCGUGGAGCUUUACUGCAGGUUGACAUUGAAUUUUGGGAUUAAAUGUACAGGAUAGGUGGGAGACUGUGAAGCAAGCUCGCCAGAGUUUGCAGAGUCACUGUUGGGAUACCACCCUUUUAAUUCUAAAGUUCUAACUAGUUACCAUGAAUCUGGUAAUAGGACACUGUCAGUCGGGCAGUUUGACUGGGGCGGUCGCCUCCAAAAAAGUAACGGAGGCGUUCAAAGGUUCGCUCAGAAUGGUUGGAAAUCAUUCAAAGAGUACAAAGGCAAAAGCGAGCUUAACUGCGAGACAUACAGGUCGAGCAGAGACGAAAGUCGGACUUAGUGAUCCGGUGGUACCGAGUGGAAGGGCCAUCGCUCAACGGAUAAAAGCUACCCCGGGGAUAACAGGCUUAUCUCCCCCAAGAGUCCACAUCGACGGGGAGGUUUGGCACCUCGAUGUCGGCUCGUCUCAUCCUGGAGCUGGAGUAGGUUCCAAGGGUUGGGCUGUUCGCCCAUUAAAGAGGCACGCGAGCUGGGUUCAGAACGUCGUGAGACAGUUCGGUCCCUAUCCACCGUGGGCGUGAGAAAUUUGAGAGGAUCUGUCCUUAGUACGAGAGGACCGGGAUGGACAGACCGCUGGUGUACGAGUUGUACUGCCAAGUGCACAGCUCGGUAGCUACGUCUGGGAAGGAUAAGUGCUGAAGGCAUCUAAGCACGAAACCAACCUCGAGAUAAGAUUUCUAUGAGAUUACUUGAAGAAAACAAGAUAGAUAGGUCAGAGGUGUAAAGAUAGUAAUAUCAAAGCUAACUGAUACUAAUAAAUCGAAAACUUGACU
rnacentral:rRNA from 1 species